rnacentral:rRNA from 1 species
UACGUAGGGUCCAAGCGUUGUCCGGAAUUAUUGGGCGUAAAGAGCUCGUAGGCGGUUUGUCACGUCGGCUGUGAAAACCCGAGGCUUAACCUCGGGCCUGCAGUCGAUACGGGCUGACUAGAGUGUGGCAGGGGAGACUGGAAUUCCUGGUGUAGCGGUGAAAUGCGCAGAUAUCAGGAGGAACACCGGUGGCGAAGGCGGGUCUCUGGGCCAUAACUGACGCUGAGGAGCGAAAGCGUGGGUAGCGAACAGG